UACGUAGGGUGCGAGCGUUGUCCGGAAUUAUUGGGCGUAAAGAGCUUGUAGGCGGUUUGUCGCGUCUGCCGUGAAAAUCCGGGGCUCAACCCCGGACUUGCGGUGGGUACGGGCAGACUAGAGUGUGGUAGGGGAGACUGGAAUUCCUGGUGUAGCGGUGAAAUGCGCAGAUGUCAGGAGGAACACCGAUGGCGAAGGCAGGUCUCUGGGCCACUACUGACGCUGAGAAGCGAAAGCGUGGGGAGCGAACAGG
rnacentral:rRNA from 1 species